UACGUAGGGGGCAAGCGUUGUCCGGAUGUAUUGGGCGUAAAGAGCGUGUAGGCGGCCAGGUAGGUCCGCUGUGAAAACUCGAGGCUCAACCUCGAGAUGUCGGCGGAAACCAUCUGGCUAGAGUCCGGAAGAGGAGAGUGGAAUUCCUGGUGUAGCGGUGAAAUGCGCAGAUAUCAGGAAGAACACCCGUGGCGAAGGCGGCUCUCUGGGACGGUACUGACGCUGAGACGCGAAAGCGUGGGGAGCGAACAGG
rnacentral:rRNA from 1 species